rnacentral:lncRNA from 1 species
AUGCUCAAAAUUCUCCAAGAUAGGCUUCAGCAGUACGUGAACCGUGAACUUCCAGAUGUUCAAGCUGGUUUUAGAAAAGGCAGAGGAACCAGAGAUCAAAUUGCCAACAUCUGCUGGAUCAUGGAAAAAGCAAGAGAGUGCCAGAAAAACAUCUAUUUCUGCUUUAUUGACUAUGCCAAAGCCUUUGACUGUGUGGAUCACAAUAAACUGUGGAAAAUUCUGAAAGAGAUGGGAAUAGCAGACCACCUGCCCUGCCUCUUGAGAAACCUAUAUGCAGGUCAGGAAGCAACAGUUAGAACUGGACAUGGAACAACAGAUUGGUUCCAAAUAGGAAAAGGAGUAUGUCAAGGCUGUAUAUUGUCACCCUGCUUAUUUAACUUAUAUGCAGAGUACAUCAUGAGAAACACUGGGCUGGAAGAAGCACAAGCUGGAAUCAAGAUUGCCAGGAAAAAUAUCAAUAACCUCAGAUAUGCAGAUGACACCACCCUUAUGGCAGAAAGUGAAGAGGAACUAAAAAGCCUCUUGAUGAAAGUGAAAGAGGAGAGCGAAAAAGUUGGCUUAAAGCUCAACAUUCAGAAAACUAAUAUGAUGGCAUCCAGUCCCAUCACUUCAUGGCAAAUAGAUGGGGAAACAAUGGAAAUAGUGGCUGACUUUAUUUUUCUGGGCUCCAAAAUCACUGUGGAUAGUGAUUGCAGCCAUGAAAUUAAAGGACACUUACUCCUCGGAAGGAAAGUUAUGACCAACCUAGACAGCAUGUUAAAAAGCAAAGACAUUACUUUGCCAACAAAGGUUUGUCUAGUCAAGGCUAUGGUUUUUCCAGUGGUCAUGUAUGGAUGUGAAAGUUGGACUAUAAAGAAAGCUGAUCACCAAAGAACUGAUGCUUUUGAACUGUGGUGUUGGAGAAGACUCUUGAGAGUCCCUUGGACUGCAAGGAGAUCCAACCAGUCCAUUCUGAAGGAGAUCAGCCCUGGGUGUUCAUUGGAGGGACUGAUGCUAAAGCUGAAACUCCAAUACUUUGGCCACCUCAUGAGAAGAGUUGACUCAUUGGAAAAGACCCUGAUGCUGGGAGGGAUUGGGGGCAGGAGGAGAAGGGGACGACAGAGGAUGAGAUGGCUGGAUGGCAUCACUGACUCGAUGGACAUGAGUUUGGGUAAACUCUGGGAGUUGGUGAUGGACAGGGAGGCCUGGCUUGUGGUGAUUCAUGGGGUCGCAAAGAGUCGGACACGCCUGAGUGACUGA